rnacentral:snRNA from 1 species
CUACUUGGCCUUUUGGCUAAGAUCAUGUGUGGUA